rnacentral:lncRNA from 1 species
AAAGCAACACCUGCCAUUGGCUUUAGCUCACCAACAGGAAAUUGGAUCAUGUAUCCACUAUGUGAUUGAAUAAGACUUUCAUCUUGGGAAGAAUUCCUCCUGUAACGCCUGCACUUGUCUCUCUUUCUGAACUGAAGCCUGUGGUGUGCAUGCUGUGACAAGCUGUUAGGAAGCCCUGAUGUGCUGGGGUGCUGGGGUGCUAGAGUACUACCACAGCCUCCACUGGACUUUACUAGAAAUAAGCAGUCAUUCACAGCCUCUUUAGCUUGCUCUGGCUGCUGGUUUUCAUAUGGUCAUCAGCUGACGCCAGUCCCUGCAUAGAUCUUUUUCCCCCAAGGAUAAAGUGAUUUAAAAAAACUAGAUUUAUUCAUUUUAUUUUAUAUGCAAGUGUUUGCCUGUACAUUCAGCUAUGCAUCAAAUGCCUAGUGAGUCUGAGAUGUUCGUGGUAGGACUUGCCCUUUCUCACACCUUGGUUUAGGACACUCAACCAACAUGAGAUGCACUGUGCAUGCCCUCAUGCUGGACCCACCAACACCACAGCCUGAAACACCUCAGCUUGGAUUCCAGGCUGUCCCAGGAAUCUUUUGUUGGGCCAGUGGGAUGGUCAGAGGUCACAGAGGGUUUUUCUCUGUUCUUAUAGAAACAUGAUGGUUAGUUACUAAAAGACUAAUUUUUUCAAUAUACUGUCACCAUCUAUUUCAGAAUGUAUCACUUCAGUAUAUAGUUGGAUUCUGUAGUAUUAAAACAUUUGAUUUUCUAAAAGUUGUCCAUUAGGCUGGGGAUGUGGCUCAGUGGUAAAGUGCACAUAUUGCUCUUCCAGAGGACCUAAGUUCAGUUCCUAGCACCCAUGUCAGGUGGCCUGAAACUGCCUGUAUCUCUCUAGCUCCAGCAGUUCUAAAACCUAUGGCUUCCAUGGAAAGCACACACACAUGAAGUACACACACAGACACACAGACACACACACAUGGAAAGAGACACAGACACGUACACACUUAAAAAUAAUACAAAUAGAUCUCCAACUAAAGAGUUGUAAAAGUUUUCAGCUAUUUUAAUACCCCACACCACCACUGUGUUUUGGCUGUGAUGUAUAGAUAGGCGGUGGUCCCUAGCAAUGUAAUUAUAUUUACUUAGAAUUGAAAAUAAUACGAAAUGGCAAGCAAGUGCUAUUAAAGCUUAUUAAAUUCAUUACUUAUCUAUUAAACAUAAAUUUUACCAUCUGAAAUUGAAAGAAAAAGUAAGGCAAAGAAUUAUUUAUGUAUUAUUGUCAUUACACAAGGCAAAAAUAUGCCCAUGGAAACACAAUGAAAUAAAUAUACUGAAAAAGAAGUGUGUGUAAAUAUAUGGAGUGAGGUGUAUCGGAGUUCAUGUUAUCAGGAACACUCAGAUCCUUGUCCCUUUGUCGUAAGUUAGGGAGACCUACUGGGAGGCAGAGGCAGGUGUUGUGCAACUGCUUAGCAUCUCUCAGCCAAAGCCUUGCUCUACAUUUGGCUGAUAUGUGCACUUGAGCGAGAGUGUGUGUGUAUGUGGUUGUGUGUUUGUAUGUGAGAGUGUGGUGUGUGUAAGUGUGUGUUUGUAUGUGAGUUUGUGUGUGUUUGUGAGUGUGUGGUGUGUGUGUGAGUGUGUGUGUGUGGGGGAUGUGUAGGAGGGUCCCAUGAAUUUCAAAUCUCCAGCAUGUAACUGCAAGUCAGUCAGGGAGAAACACAGCUUUUUGGUCUUUGGACUUUAGUUUCUUUGUUUCUAAUUCAUGAAAGAUUCUCUGUAAAUUAUUUGCUAGCAGCUUUAUUUUGGAUCUUCACUAACCUUGCCUUCUUGAUUUUCUACCUCCAAUUUCUGGCUAUUUAGUUUGUCUUUUCUUUUUAUCUAAUUUUGUCCUAAAAAUGCUUUUUGUCCUUUAGAAAAGGCAUCAAGACAAAUCCUAAAAAUAACAUUUUCGGGUCUGGUCUAUUUUAUUUGGCUGUGGUAAGCAUACAGUUUUUAGUGGGCCAAUUAAUUAUCCCAGGUGUUCCAUGAAAGUGUAACUAGUGUCCCAAGCAUGGUUCUUCAGAGCUACAAAAUCAGGCUUUAAGCAUGCUGAGAAUAUACUUCUGGCACUGAUUCCCUAGCAGAGUCUAUAGUGACUUUUAUUGAUUUUACAAGUUUUUUUGUUUUAAUUUUUUUGUAAAUGUCUGGAAAGGAUUUCAGUUUCUGUGGAAAUCCCUCCCAGGAAGACAUGACAUUAUUAUCUUGAGGUAACAUGUGCUGAGGGAGGUGAAUCACAGUUAACUAGAGAAAGUGAGAGAUGCUUCAUCAGUAACUGGCGUCUACUGCCUCCUAAGGUUUGCCUUCUGUUAGUUACUUUGGGAGUGGACCUUGACCUGGACCCUGCACUCAGUCUCUGGUGAGUUUGUAACUCUCUCUGAGGCUGUUUGCUAGUUCGGGUUUGGGGCUGCUGGCUUUGCUACAGAGAUAGAUUGUCGCAAUUAAGUCCAAUCAUUUAUUAACCAUUGUGUCAAUCAUGGUUUAUUUUUAUUUAAUUUUUUAAAAAUCACUAACAAAAUACUUUAGACGAUUAUUUCAGCAGAAGACAAAGUUAGUUUGGGCUCAUAUUUCCCAGGUUUCCCUUUGUCUCACGCAUCAGUCCGUUCUCGGUUGUUUUGAUGUUUUGGGAGCUCGGGGCAGAAUGCUGAGGUGGGGAGUGAAUGGGAUAGAAAACUGUUCUGUAUUUGAUAGCUGGAAAACAGAGAGUGAGAACCAGGGCCUGAGGUUCCUACAGUUCUUCAGGGCGUCCCACAGUGACUGUAUCUCUCAAGGGUCCAGCCCUUCCCACCUGUGCUGGGAUGAACGUUAAUUUGUACUUUCUCUAAUUUCUGUUGAGCAUCACUUGGACAUUUUAAAGACUUUAGCCAAGAGGAAUUUGAGAUAAUAAAAUGUUACUUGUUUACUAGUUCUCCUUUAGGGGAUCUGCAAGACUUGUUCCUGUAGAAGUACUACUGUGGUCUGCCCCAGCCCAUUGCCUUGUCUAUGCCCAGCUUCACUGGAUUCUCUUACCCCAUGUCUAUGUCUUUCGACAUAGGAGACCCAUGUGUCUAUGUCUUUCAUAUGGCUUGGAUUUUAUCAUAUUUGCCAGGCAUCUUUUCUAGCCAAAUUACUGUACCACAGUGUCUCUUCUGCUCAUUUUCACU